AUCAGACAAGGUGUUUAUUCAGCUGUGUACAGAAAUAUGGACCAAAGUGCAGCCUCGCCAAAGGUUACCGUCGUACAGAUGACGUAAAGGGCUGCGGAGGAGGAGGAGAAAGUGGUUCAUGUUCAUCAUGUUAUGCCGCUGUUGUUGCUUUGCUUUUCGGAAAAGGGUGCCUCUGCACAUUCAGUCUCACCUGGAGCCCGUCAGUGGUUACGGUGGUCUGAUCCGGCAGCAGGACCAGCCCGGCGACGGCUCAGCCAGUCUGAGGGGCCCCUGGGCACUGGUCCCGGGCCUUGUCUUGGCCCUCGUCCUGCUGCAGCAGGCCGUAUAGAGUGGCCGGAGGGGGGUCGGAGUGUCGGAGUUCAUCCACUACGCGCUGAUCCCGGGAGGGUUGACGAAGAGGAGGGCGAGCGGUGUUGGCCAUUGAUGAAGGAAUAUGACAACCACUGACGAAAAACAGAAGCGAUGGAAGGAGAGGACGGACGCAGGUCAAGGAAGGUGAAGGUAUAGCAGAAGCGGACAUUUUGAGACCCGAUCAAAAAAAGAAACCCCAAACCAACGUAAUCUACUCAUUUCUUUUUGUGUUUCUGUGAGGGCAUGUCGAUAAAAAAAAUAAACAACGCACAGGAGGAGGCGGAGUCUAAGGACAUAGGGACUGGGAUUGGACCCCCAGGGGGGGGGGGGGCUUCCCCACUGAGACUGAAAGCCCUGAGACUAUAGCCCUCUGACUUUGGAGGCCCCCCCCAGCAGGGCGGCCCCCCCACCACUGCACUCUCGCUGCGCCGGAAAAGGCAGUGGGGGAAGGGGAGGGGAUCAAUUAAUAAUUAGGGGAAGAGAGAAUGGAAAGUGUAUUGUAUAGUGUAAAAAAAGAGAGAGAGAAUUAGGACUAACAGUGUGGGGGAGGGGGGGCUGGAUGAAGUACUCCGACUAUUAGAAGCACUUUUUUCAUCUUGAAUCGGAAUCUCGACGAAAAUUGCAUUGGAUUAAAUUCUGUCUCUUAAACACUAACGUAAACUCUCAAAUGUAAAGCCUACUCCUUGUUCUCCGUGUCGGUAUAGUAUCCGUGAUCAUACUCUCUAACCGUGGUUUGGCUCAUUCGGGUCUGGGCUAACAGUCUAUUUUUUCAGCAGGAUUUGAAAAAUAAAUGUAAAAGGGCGCGAUAUCAGUUUAUGGUUCUCAUGGAGGUGUCCCUUGUGUUCAUAUUUGGCGGGUGAGGGCGCUAUAAGGCCACCCGCAACUGUGUAUAUUUUAUGUCCCUGUACAUAGAUAAAAAAAUGUUUUUGUUUGUUUUGAUUUGUUUUCUUUCAUUGGAACUAAUGUUAUCUGCAGUACUUUAAUGGACAUUGCUGUAUGUCAUGUGACAGUAUUACGGAUGAGUGAUUGGGCUCUAUCCAGAGCCUUCAUUAUCUGCGUUUCUAUUUGUCCAUGAAGGUUGGAACCACAAAGAAUGUAUUCCGGGAUGAAAUUAAACGAGCGCUAAUUGCUUGGAAAAGCCAUAACCUGUGUUUGAGUACCUCUGGAGAGUCCCCUUCGAGCACUUCACGGUUAAUGUUCAGGAGGAGAGAACGCUUCAGCCACACAAUGACAUAACAGACGGGGGGUUUUAUUUACUGCCCUCAGAGAGCUAAGGGGCUACAUCAAUGUUGACAAUUGUUCCGGUUUGAUUACACGUGCGGGUUAGGGUUUCAACCUGCAGAAAAUCCCCCUAAUCCCGAGAACCACCACACCACAACAAUAACAUCAAACCGAUGGGUUCCCAAGCCAAACUUGC
ensembl:lncRNA